UACAGAGGGGGCAAGCGUUGUUCGGAAUUACUGGGCGUAAAGCGCACGUAGGCGGCCAACUAAGUCAGACGUGAAAUCCCUCGGCUUAACCGAGGAACUGCGUCUGAUACUGGAUGGCUUGAGUUUGGGAGAGGGAUGCGGAAUUCCAGGUGUAGCGGUGAAAUGCGUAGAUAUCUGGAGGAACACCGGUGGCGAAGGCGGCAUCCUGGACCGACACUGACACUGAGGAGCGAAAGCCAGGGGAGCAAACGGG
rnacentral:rRNA from 1 species